rnacentral:rRNA from 1 species
UACGUAGGGGGCAAGCGUUGUCCGGAAUCAUUGGGCGUAAAGAGCGCGUAGGCGGCCCGAUAAGUCCGCUGUGAAAGUCAAGGGCUUAACCCUUGAAUGCCGGUGGAAACUGUCGGGCUAGAGUCCGGAAGAGGCGAGUGGAAUUCCUGGUGUAGCGGUGAAAUGCGCAGAUAUCAGGAGGAACACCGAUGGCGAAGGCAGGUCUCUGGGCCACUACUGACGCUGAGAAGCGAAAGCAUGGGGAGCGAACAGG